GCAGUCGAGGGGUAUAAGUCUUCGGAUUUAGAGACCGGCGCACGGGUGCGUAACGCGUAUGCAAUCUACCUUUUACAGAGGGAUAGCCCAGAGAAAUUUGGAUUAAUACCUCAUAGUAUUAUGAAAUGGCAUCAUUUUAUAAUUAAAGUCACAACGGUAAAAGAUGAGCAUGCGUCCCAUUAGCUAGUUGGUAAGGUAACGGCUUACCAAGGCUACGAUGGGUAGGGGUCCUGAGAGGGAGAUCCCCCACACUGGUACUGAGACACGGACCAGACUCCUACGGGAGGCAGCAGUGAGGAAUAUUGGACAAUGGGCGCAAGCCUGAUCCAGCCGUGCCGCGUGCAGGAUGACGGUCCUAUGGAUUGUAAACUGCUUUUAUACGAGAAGAAACACUGCUUCGUGAAGCAGCUUGACGGUAUCGUAAGAAUAAGGAUCGGCUAACUCCGUGCCAGCAGCCGCGGUAAUACGGAGGAUCCAAGCGUUAUCCGGAAUCAUUGGGUUUAAAGGGUCCGUAGGCGGUUUGGUAAGUCAGUGGUGAAAGCCCAUCGCUCAACGGUGGAACGGCCAUUGAUACUGCCAGACUUGAAUUAUUAGGAAGUAACUAGAAUAUGUAGUGUAGCGGUGAAAUGCUUAGAGAUUACAUGGAAUACCAAUUGCGAAGGCAGGUUACUACUAAUGGAUUGACGCUGAUGGACGAAAGCGUGGGUAGCGAACAGGAUUAGAUACCCUGGUAGUCCACGCCGUANACGAUGGAUACUAGCUGUUGGAAGCAAUUUCAGUGGCUAAGCGAAAGUGAUAAGUAUCCCACCUGGGGAGUACGUUCGCAAGAAUGAAACUCAAAGGAAUUGACGGGGGCCCGCACAAGCGGUGGAGCAUGUGGUUUAAUUCGAUGAUACGCGA
rnacentral:rRNA from 1 species